ensembl:lncRNA novel transcript
GCCCUCAAAGCUUUUCCUUAUUAUGCCAUGUCUUGCUACUCUUUUCCCACAACCUCGCUGCACGUGCUGCAUAUCAGGCAGAUGUGCUCAUUCUGCCGCCUGCUUAUUUUCCUUGAAGUGAUUUGCACAGCAGAUGUUCCAGUAAGUGUUCUUUCCUUCGUCCCUUUACAAUUCUGCUAAAAAAAAAAUGCACUAUACAUGUGCUAUUGACCUUCGGAUUUUCAAAGAGAAAACUCUUCACAGCCUCCUCUCCACCUCAGUGGAAAUUGCCUGAUUUUCUCCCCUUGGCACAGAUAAAUCUUAUAAACCUGGGAUCAACAAAAAGACAAGAAAGCAAGAAUUUCACAAAGCAAGCAUUUUCUCCAGAGAGAAGCAUGAUAAGGCCUGGACAUUCUGUGGGAUAUGCAUUAUGAGUUUGCAAUCCAGGGUAGAUCUCCACAUCAAUGUUUCUCUUCCUUUUUAAGGAUCAUCAUGAAAACAGCUGAGUCAAUGGGGGCAACACAGGUUACUGGAAUGUCAGGCAGACAUGCCUAGAAACUGUUCUAUAAAGAUUGUCUGAGAAAGGGAGCUUUGCAGCACCCAGAGACUCUGGAACUCUUGGGAAUUUGUCCACCCUCCUACUGUGUCCAGAAUUGGUGGGUUAUUGGUCUCACUUCAAGAAUGAAGCCGCGGAGCCCCGCAGUGAGUGUUACAGUUCUUAAAGGCGGCGUGUCCGGAGUUUGUUCCUUCUGAUGUCCGGAUGUGUUUGGAGUUUCUUCCUUCCGCUGGGUUCGUGGUCUCACUGGCUCAGGAGUGAAGCUGCAGACCUUCCCGGUGAGUGUUACAACUCUUAAGGCAGCGCGUCUGGAGUUGUUCGUUCCUCCCGGUGGGUUUGUGGUCUCGCUGGCUUCACGAGUGAAGCUGCAGACCUUCGUGGUGAGUGUUACAGUUCAUAAAGGCAGUGUGGACACAAACAGUGAGCAGCAGCAAGAUUUAUUGCAAAGAGCAAAAGAAUAAACCUUCCACAUUGUGGAAGGGAAACCCAGCGGCUUGCCAGUGCUGGCUCAGCAGCCUGCUUUUUCCCCUUAUCUGGCCCCAUCCACAUCCUGCUGAUUGGUCCAUUUUACAGAGAGCCGAUUGGUGUGUUUUACAGAGAGCUGAUUGGUCCGUUUUGACAGGGUGCUGACUGGUGCAUUUACAAUCCCUGAGCUAGACAUAAAGGUUCUCCAAGUCCCCACUAGACUCAGGAGCCCAGCUGGCUUCAUCCAGUGCUUCUUGCAUGGGGGCCGCGGGUGGAGCUGCCUGCGAGUCCUCCGCUGUGUGCCUGUACUCCUCAGCCCUUGGGUGGUCAAUGGGACUGGGCUCAUCGGGGAGGCUUUGGGUGCACAGGAGCCCACAGGUAGGGGGGCGGCUCAGGCAUGGCGGGCUGCCGGUCCUGAGCUCUGCCCGCAGGGAGGCAGCUAAGGCCCGGCGAGAAAUUGAGCACAGCAGCUGCUGGCCCAGGUGCUAAGCUCCUCAAUGCCCGGGGCCGGCUCCGCUGGCUGCUCCGAGUGCGGGGCCCGCCGAGCCCACGCCCAUCCAGAAUUCGCACUGGCCCACAAGCCGCAUGGGCAGCCCUGGUUCCCACCCGCGCCUCUCCCUUCGCACCUCCUGGCAAGCUGAGGGAGCCGGCUCCAGCCUUGGCCAGCCCAGAAAGGGGCUCCUACAGUGCUGCGGUGGGCUGAAGUUCUCCUCAAGCGUGGCCAGAGUGGGCGCCAAGGCCCAGGAGGCGCCCAGAGCUAGCGAGGGCUGUGAGGGCUGCCAGCACGCUGUCACCUCUCACUACCAGGGGAAAGAACACCAUUGAGGAGUUGGAUUCAGAUACAGUGCCCAAACUGCCCUUUUGCCCAGGCAACCCAGAUGAAUUUAUCUGUUGCUCCAUAGCCCUUUACUCUGCUCUACAUUUGUUUUCUUCUUUUUUAAAAAAAUAAAUAGAAUUAUUUAACCUUUUAACACACUGUAUAAUUUGCAUGCUUAUUAUGUCUACUGUUUUCUGACUGUCUGCACCAGAAUGUAAAGUACAAGAGGGCAGAGCUUUUGGUUGGUCCACUGUUAAUAUCCAAGUGUCUAGAUUUUGUCUGCAUCCUAGUAGAU